UACGGGGGGGGCAAGCGUUGUUCGGAAUUACUGGGCGUAAAGGGCUCGUAGGCGGCCAACUAAGUCAGACGUGAAAUCCCUAGGCUCAACCUAGGAACUGCGUCUGAUACUGGAUGGCUUGAAUCCGGGGAGAGGGAUGCAGAAUUCCAGGUGUAGCGGUGAAAUGCGUAGAUAUCUGGAGGAAUACCGGUGGCGAAGGCGGCAUCCUGGACCGGCAUUGACGCUGAGGAGCGAAAGCCAGGGGAGCAAACGGG
rnacentral:rRNA from 1 species